rnacentral:tRNA from 1 species
AGAAAUAUGCCUGAUUAAAGGAUUUCCCUGAUAAAGAAAAUAAUAUGAAUUUUUCAUUAUUUCUA